rnacentral:tRNA from 1 species
GAAGGUGUAGCUCAGUGGUAGAGUGCGUGCUUAGCAUGCACGAGGUCUCAUGUUCAGUCCCCAGUACCUCCA